rnacentral:rRNA from 1 species
UGGGGAAUAUUGGACAAUGNGGGCAACCCUGNNNCAGCCAUNCCGCGUGCGUGAAGAAGGCCUUAGGGUUGUAAAGCGCUUUCAGCGGGGACGAUGAUGACGGUACCCGCAGAAGAAGCCCCGGCUAACUCCGUGCCAGCAGCCGCGGUAAUACGGAGGGGGCAAGCGUUGUUCGGAAUUACUGGGCGUAAAGGGCGCGUAGGCGGCACAUCAAGUCAGAGGUGAAAGCCCCGGGCUCAACCUGGGAAUUGCCUUUGAAACUGAUGAGCUAGAGUGCGGAAGAGGAUAGCGGAAUUCCCAGUGUAGAGGUGAAAUUCGUAGAUAUUGGGAAGAACACCAGUGGCGAAGGCGGCUAUCUGGUCCGGUACUGACGCUGAGGCGCGAAAGCGUGGGGAGCAAACAGGAUUAGAUACCCGCGUAGUCC